AUUGAACGCUGGCGGCAGGCCUAACACAUGCAAGUCGAGCGAGUGGCGGACGGGUGAGUAAUGUCUGGGGAUCUGCCUGAUGGAGGGGGAUAACUACUGGAAACGGUGGCUAAUACCGCAUACCAUCGGAUGUACCCAUAUGGGAUUAGCUUGUUGGUGGGGUAACGGCUCACCAAGGCGACGAUCCCUAGCUGGUCUGAGAGGAUGACCAGCCACACUGGGACUGAGACACGGCCCAGACUCCUACGGGAGGCAGCAGUGGGGAAUAUUGCACAAUGGGCGCAAGCCUGAUGCAGCCAUGCCGCGUGUAUGAAGAAGGCCUUAGGGUUGUAAAGUACUUUCAGCGGGGAGGCGUUACCCGCAGAAGAAGCACCGGCUAACUCCGUGCCAGCAGCCGCGGUAAUUC
rnacentral:rRNA from 1 species